GAAUAACACAUGCAAGUCGAACGGCAGCAUGUUCUGUGGCAACACAGAAUGAUGGCGAGUGGCGUACGGGUGAGUAAUACGUAGGAAUCUGCCUCAAAGUGGGGGAUAACUCCGCGAAAGCGGAGCUAAUACCGCAUAAUCUUUUCGAAGCAAAGCUGGGGAUCUUCGGACCUUGUGCUUUGAGAUGAGCCUACGUCCGAUUAGCUAGUUGGUUUUUUAUUCUCGCCUACCAAGGCNUAGNUCGGUAGCUGGUCUGAGAGGACGACCAGCCACACUGGAAUCGUGACACGUGUAGNCUCCUACGGAAGGUCGAGGAGGGUGAUC
rnacentral:sRNA from 1 species